rnacentral:rRNA from 1 species
AUUGAACGCUGGCGGCAGGCCUAACACAUGCAAGUCGAGCGGAUGAGGGGAGCUUGCUCCUGGAUUCAGCGGCGGACGGGUGAGUAAUGCCUAGGAAUCUGCCUGGUAGUGGGGGAUAGCGUCCGGAAACGGGCGCUAAUACCGCAUACGUCCUGAGGGAGAAAGUGGGGGAUCUUCGGACCUCACGCUAUCAGAUGAGCCUAGGUCGGAUUAGCUAGUUGGUGGGGUAAAGGCCUACCAAGGCGACGAUCCGUAACUGGUCUGAGAGGAUGAUCAGUCACACUGGAACUGAGACACGGUCCAGACUCCUACGGGAGGCAGCAGUGGGGAAUAUUGGACAAUGGGCGAAAGCCUGAUCCAGCCAUGCCGCGUGUGUGAAGAAGGUCUUCGGAUUGUAAAGCACUUUAAGUUGGGAGGAAGGGCAGUAAGUUAAUACCUUGCUGUUUUGACGUUACCAACAGAAUAAGCACCGGCUAACUUCGUG